rnacentral:rRNA from 1 species
GGAGUCGGGUUGUUUGGAAACGCAGCCCAAAGUGGAUGGUAAACUUCAUCUAAGGCUAAAUAUGACCACGAAACCAAUAGCGAACAAGUACCGUGAGGGAAAGUUGAAAAGCACUUUGAAAAGAGAGUGCAAGAGAACGUGAAAUCGAUAUAAUGGAAGCGAAUGAAGUCGGCGUAUCUAACGUGCAUUCAGUUGUUGGGCGAUGCAAUCGAUGGUUUGAGAAUUCCGCAAGGUUUCUCGGCUGUUGUUGUUGUUUUGUUCGAUGAUGCACUUGCACGUAGAGUGCGACGGGUUGGUUGGUGUUGUCGGUGGAAGUCGUUCGAGAGGACCUGUUCUUCGCGGAACUUGAAACCUAGAGCGGUGGAUGCCUGAUCAAUGCUGAUCAAUUGCUUGUCGAGUACUGGUCUGUCGAUUUUGGCUUGGCGUUUCUUUGAUUCUCCAUUUUACGCAUGCGUACAGUGGUUGGUUGGAGUUGCGUUGGGUUCUAAAAUCACUGUACUCUUCUCGUCGUAUAGUCGGUCACUCAUUCGACCCGUCUUGAAACACGGACCAAGGAGUUUAUAGUACACGCGAGUCAUUGAGCGUUAAAACUCAAAGGCGCAAUGAAAGUGAAACUACGAACAGUUGGAACACGAUCAAUGAAUCUCGGUUUGUUGAGCAGUGUUGCCCCAUUCCUGGAACUUGUUCUGGUGUGGAGGUUGAGCGUGUGCAAUGAGACCCGAAAGAUGGUGAACUAUGCCUGAACAGGAUGAAGCCAGAGGAAACUCUGGUGGAAGUCCGAAGCGGUUCUGACGUGCAAAUCGAUCGUC